rnacentral:lncRNA from 1 species
UUCUGAUUUGCAUUUCUCUAAUGAUCAGUGAUGUUGAGAUUUCUUUUUCAUGUGAUUGUUGGUUGCAUGUAUACCUUCUUUGGUUCUUUUGGUUUUAUAUGAAUUUUGAAAUAAAUUUUGGACAAUUUGUUUAUACUGUGUGUGUGUCCAGUUGUGAUUGGAAUAUAUUGUAGAAACUCAAGUAAAUAUCUUCUAAUGACUCAAUGAAUUGAUUUAUUUGGGAUGCUUUAUAAAAAGUAUAACUUUUUCCUAAUGCAGAAUGUCCUAGUAGAAAUAAAAAAAUACAGUAUAUCAAUAAUUCCUAGCAUUCCCAAGGAAGGAAACAAGUAAUCGUAUUAAGUAAAAUGAUAAAAUAAUACAAGUCUUAAUGUUGAUGCCCAACAUCAAGCCAUUUUUAAGAAUCACAAGCAGUGCAGCAGUAUUAUUGCUGAUGCUUUAAAGCUGAGCCAUAUUUUCUUAGAUAUUUAUAGGAUGGCUUUGUAGGUAAAAUACAGGAGUAAAUACCUGUGCUAGGUUGUUUUAUCGUGCAGUUAUUCAUUCUUCCUUUCCUGUAAGAAAAUUAUACAUUGUUGCUCAUUGACAUCAGGCUUAAGGGGCCCCUUAUGGACAGAAUAUAUAUUCUCUGCUCCAUUGAUGUUUGACCUGACUAUGUGAUGUGCUUUAGUCAAUGGAAUAAAUGUAGGCACGAUGUAUACUGUUUUUGAGAAGAAACUUUAAAAGGUACUAAUGAAAUUUCUUUGCCUGUUUGUUUCUGCCUUCUGUAUGGGUCCUGGAAUAAAAAUAUAUGGAUGAGGAUUGCAGCUGACUUCAGCCUACAUGCAGUUUGAAUAUGAAACAGAUUCCAUACCCCUUCAGGAGGCACACGUUAUCUUCUGUGGCCUGACUCCUACCAUAUCAGUGUACUGUCACCCAGAAAACUGUUAUAGAAGAUGUCCGAGCAUAUGGAAAAGAACCUUGAACAUGGAACAAGGAGACACGGGUUCAGCCUCUGGGCAAAUAAUUGAACUGGCACAACAAAGAAAAAGAUGUCGGAAAUUGUUCAUCAAAAAACUGAGUGCUUAUCUAUGAGUAUGAAGAUUUCAUUAAUUAAUCUUAUAUGUUAUACUUUUUCACAUUACUUGAAUAUUGUUCAUAAUUGCAUACUAUCUUUAUAAUAUAAUAAAAUAUUUUCAUUUUCAAAUAUUUAACAAUUUAAACAAAUGUAAGCAAAAUAUUAAAAAUAACUUGACAUUAGUACGUGGAAUUGGGGCAAUUGCAUAAGUUUUCUCAUUCAAACAUUCAUAUAAGUACUUGAAAUCAUGAAUACAAGCAUAUUAACACUAGAGAUUUUAGAAUUCCUCCAUUAUUUCCCUAGUUUUCUAGCUAUGAUUUGAUCAAACUGUGUUUAUAAGUUCCUUUAUAUUAAAUUUAGGUGGUAAGCUAGAUUUAAAUCUUUUUGGAGAAAAAUUGUUAUUUGAUAUUAAAUGUAAUUAUUUAUUUCACUGGAAAUAUAAAAUAUAUAGCCUUCCAAGUAACAAAGGGUAAUGAAUUUAUUGUUUAAAGAGAAACGUAAAUACAGAAAAUAAAA